UACUGGACUAACUUUUCUUAUGCCAACCUCAAUUUCAUCAUGGCUCAAAGCUUUAUAUGGAUUGACCUUGUAUUAGGCCAACCCAAGUCCAUCACAUGGCAACCCUGCAUUAGGUUGACCUUAAAUCCAUCAUGGGAUGAGCUUUAUAUAGGUUGAACUUAGCUUCAUCACAACUCAAGCUUUCUAUUAGGUUGACAUUGUAGGUCCAAUAGAAAAAGUUUAUCAAGUUUUUUGAGGCCUUGAAAAAUCAUCAAUGCUUCCAGAUGUAACGUAGCAACGGGGGAGAGAAGAUCUGUUUCACUUUUCACACCAAACCCCGAUCUGAGAUCUUCUCUUGCCCUCCCACAACAAUGACAUCCCCGACGGCGCUGAAGGCCGUGACGCUGACGCACGUGCGCUACCAGAGGGGCGACCGCGUCGGCCACUUCCUGGCCUGGAUAUCCCUUGUCCCCGUCUUCAUCUCCCUGGGCGGCUUCGUCUCUCACUUCAUCUUCCGCCGCGAACUCCAGGGCAUAUUCUUCGCCCUCGGCCUCAUCGUCUCCCAAUUCAUCAACCAAGUCAUCAAGACCUCCGUCCAGCAGGCCCGCCCCGCCACCUGCGCCCUCCUUGAGAUGUGCGACUCCCACGGCUGGCCCUCCAGCCACUGCCAGUACAUGUUCUUCUUCGCCUCCUACCUCACCCUCCUCUCCCUCAGAGGCGGCCUCUCUUUCUGGCACGUGCGCGACAACCCCCCCCCCUCCACCUCCUCACGUGGUCCCUCGCGCUGCUCACCAUGUAUUCCCGCGUCUACUUGGGGUACCAUACGCUGGCUCAGGUUUUCGCUGGGACCGCGCUUGGGGUUUUCCUCGGCGCGGUUUGGUUCUGGGUUGUGAACUCCGUUUUGUAUCCGUACUUUCCGGUUAUUGAAGAGAGCGCGUUUGGGAGGUGGUUCUACGUGAAGGACACUUCUCAUAUACCUAAUGUGUUGAAGUUUGAGUACGAUAUGGCCAGGGCUGAGAGACGGAAACUGGCAUCGAAUUCUAAGUCGGAUUGAGUUGGCACAUUGCUCUGAAUUUUUCUUCUAGGAUUUGCCUUCACAAGUAUUUAUGGCAGUAUUAUUAUAGCUUUCUUCUCUGGAGCUUUCCACUAUAGAAGCCAUCUGGCUUGGCUCAGCCGUUCAGGUAUAAAUGGUAUCUAUGAAGAGGGCAGCAGAGCACACUGAUAUGGUACUACGGGUCUAUGAUGCCUGUGAAAUAGAACUAAUGUAACAAUAGAUGGUUUUACUUGAUGUUAUAGAUAGACAAAUGAAUAGUUUGUCUUGUUUUCUUACAUGGGUUUUUUACCACAUACAUUGACACAAAUAAAACUGAGGGUUUUUUUAAAUUAUUGAUAAAUUUAUAAAUAUUUGUUUUGCCCCUAAA